rnacentral:rRNA from 1 species
ACGCAAUAGAUACCCCGGUAGUCCACGCCCUAAACGAUGUCUACUAGUUGUUGGGAGAGUAAAAUCUCUUAAGUAAACGCAGCUAAACGCGUGAAGUAGACCGCCUGGGGAGUACGGUCGCAAGAUUAAAAACUCAAAGGAAUUGACGGGGGCCCGCACAAGCGGUGGAUUAUGUGGAUUAAUUCGAUGCAACGCGAAAAACCUUACCUGGCCUUGACAUGCUACUAACGAAGCAGAGAUGCAUUAGGUGCCCGAAAGGGAAAGUAGACACAGGUGCUGCAUGGCUGUCGUCAGCUCGUGUCGUGAGAUGUUGGGUUAAGUCCCGCAACGAGCGCAACCCUUGCCAAUAAUUGCCAUCAUUUAGUUGGGCAC